rnacentral:misc_RNA from 1 species
AACGCAAAUUGCACUUUCUGGUAUUCCGGAGAGUAUGCCUGUUGAGGGUCAGUAAAAUAAAAAAUCGAUUUGUUACCUUAUCGUGACAUUUCGGAAUUGAGCUACCUUAAAUUUUUAGGUUUAAGAGGCUUAAAAUUGAUCACUUUUUGGUAUGAUUUUAAGCGUGCUAAUAUUACGUUUAAUGAGUAUCGAUGUUUAUUAGGCAUGACCAUGAUCAUGGUUUCGUGCCCAUAAUUUUUUCAUGAAAUGACCUCAAAUCAGGUAGGAUUACCCGCUGAACUUAA